rnacentral:snoRNA from 1 species
AUGCCAGUUAAAUGUGUCUGCUCAACUUGAAAAUGUUUUGCAGACCAUAUUUUAAAAUGAUACUGGUAAAGUAAUGCCACAGUACGAGCCUUGAAGACUUUGUCUUUGAGGUCCCAGGAGAUGGCUACAUCU